rnacentral:rRNA from 1 species
AUUGAACGCUGGCGGCAUGCUUUACACAUGCAAGUCGAACGGUAACAGGGUGCUUGCACCGCUGACGAGUGGCGAACGGGUGAGUAAUGCGUCGGAACGUGCCGAGUAGUGGGGGAUAACGCAGCGAAAGGUGUGCUAAUACCGCAUACGUACUGAGGUAGAAAGUGGGGGACCGUCGGGCCUCACGCUAUUCGAGCGGCCGACGUCUGAUUAGCUAGUAGGUGAGGUAAAGGCUCACCUAGGCGACGAUCAGUAGCGGGUCUGAGAGGAUGAUCCGCCACACUGGGACUGAGACACGGCCCAGACUCCUACGGGAGGCAGCAGUGGGGAAUUUUGGACAAUGGGCGAAAGCCUGAUCCGGCCAUGCCGCGUGUCUGAAGAAGGCCUUCGGGUUGUAAAGGACUUUUGUCAGGGAGGAAAUCCCUAGUGCUAAUAACACUGGGGGAUGACAGUACCUGAAGAAUAAGCACCGGCUAACUACGUGCCAGCCGCCGCCGUAA